rnacentral:lncRNA from 1 species
UUGCGAGGUAUGAAGACGUGGCGGAAAUGGAAUGGUUUGAUAGGAAGAGGGAGAUUGGGUUUGGUGGUGAGAUGGGCCCAAGCAUGCAAGAAUUGUGAAGUCCCAACGCCGUCCGAUAAGCAAUGGUUUAUUCCGGUACAUAGGAUCAUCCCUCCGCAACCUAAAUUUGUCACCUGUCCAAAAUACCCCUCUUCAAUAACAACACAUUCCAACACUUCUAAACAAAAAAAAAAAAAUCGUCAAUUUUUAAAUUUUAAUUAUUUAAAAUAAUAUAUUCUUUUAUAUUUUUAUUAAAAAAUAUUCUUAAAAUGUAGAGUACAUUCAAGUAAAAAAUCAGUAAACUUUUAUAACAGUUAAUUAAAAAAAAAAAAAACAACAAAAGAAUCAUAAACAAAAAUAAUUUUAAUGGAUUAAAAACAUUUUGUAUCCUUUCAAACUCUACAUCUUUUAUAUAUUUAUUAGAUUAUGGUUAGAGUUUUCAUAUAUUGGUUUAUUGGAUUUAAAUACAUAUGCGUGUAUUUCUAAAAAAAAAAAAAGGUUUUAUACCAUUUUUGACAUGUAUAUAUUAGUUUCACUACUUUAAAUGAGGAUUUGAAAGUAGGCUUUAAACUCAAUAUAUAUAUAUAGGGUUUUGGAAUAUAUUAUUUUAAUGUGUUAGAUAAAAAAGGUGGUAGCCACAUAAUAGUAGCAUAUUGAAUGUGAUAUUUCAUGUGUUUGAAGAUGGUGAAAGGACAUUGGAGUGAUGGAUGGAAAAGAAACUUUGAUGUAUGUGGGGAAACAUAUUUUGGGAGGGACCAUGCACCCUUUAACUAUUUCAAAUCAGGUCGAAAUAUAUUUAGAGGUUAAAAUACCAUUUUACUCAUUUUAGCUUUAACUUUUUCAAUAAACUUAGUCUCUCCACUGUUACAGUUAUUUAUGAUUGAUUGAACAUAUUCAAAUUUAGUUUUUCUGCUUUGCUUAUAAAUAAGAAAAAGGGAGAAAAGAAAAGAAAAGGUAUGGAAAGGGAUAGAAAAAGAGAAAGGCAGAGAUAAAGCAAAGGCAGAGAAAAGCCAUUCUCUGAGUCCUCUCUACCACCCAAAAGCUGAGAUCGACCAUAACACAGACAUAUAUUAUAUAACCAAUACUCAUAUAUAUUUCAACUAUUUAUAAAGUGUGUUCUUUUAAUAACAAUAAAGUUCUCUCUUUUCUUUUUCCUAUAAAAGAAAAAGAAAGUAAUCUCUUUCUCUUCUUUUUUUUUUUUUUUUAAUAAAAAUAGUACUAAAAACAUUCCCCAUUUGAUUUAACGAUGGCAUUUUGUAUAUUUAAAGUUGAGAAUGUAAUCACACUACUUUUCAUUAUAUAAUAAUUACGAAGACGAAGAACGGAACAUUUAAGUUUUGAAGUAAAACGUUAUAUCAAUUAAUAUAAUACUUUCUAUUUUACCAUUACAUGAGCUAAAAAUAUAAUUUUUUCUUUAAGAACAAUUUGGUUUCAAAGUUUGAUUUAUAAUAAAGUAAACAUACACAAUUUGUUUUCAAUGACCCCAUAUUCUUUUAGAGGAAAAGUUAUAACUAACUAACCACACUAAAGUUUAAUAUUCGAUUGGGAUAACAAAAGAGUACUCCCUCCAAAUCGAACAUAACUCAGCGCAAAGUUUGUAAUUGGAAUGAAAGAAAGAAAUUAAUUACCUGAAUAAGGAGAGGAGGAAUAUCCAAGAAACCAAGAUUUUCAAAGCGAUACAGAAGCUUUCUCCAAGACCGAUUAGGCGUAUCCGCCAUUUGAAGAAACUCCUCCGCCGUCAAAUCCAUAAACCCCUCAGCAAAAACCGCUCCUUCCCCAUUACAAUCCACCUCAAGUUUCCGAUCAAACUCUAACGACGACCCUCCGCCUCCAGCGGACACCCUCAGACGUCCGGCAAAUGGGUAGUAAUGUUCGAGAAGAAUGGCCAGAGAACGCUUGAGAUUGCAUAAGCUCACACCCUUCUCGAAUAAGAACACGUACUUAAUCGCAAAUCUUAGAAAGCUCUGAUCGUCCAAAUUGGAGAGGUAUAACGAGUGUUUUGGGGUUGGAUUCGCCGGCCGGAUUACCACUGGUGGGCUUAGGUACCGGCAGUCCGGGAGGUCCGGGGAUUUUACCAUCAUAUUGUGCUGUGUGUUGAUCUUGUUAUUAUUGAUGUGAGAGAUUUAUGGGAGAGGGUGGAGGAAAGAGAGGUAAUUUGUAGAGUGGAGAGGAUGGAGGAAAGGGGUAAUUUGUAGAGGGGAGAAAAGGAAGUGAGAGAAAGUGCAAUGGUAGAAUUAUAAUUAAUAUAGUUUUUUUUUCGUACAUAUUUCAAUCAAACAUUCAUUUGAAUCCAAUACCUCUUAUACUUCAAUAUUUAAG